UACGGGGGGUGCAAGCGUUGUUCGGAUUUACUGGGCGUAAAGGGCGCGUAGGCGGUCGUGACAAGUCACUUGUGAAAUCUCCGGGCUUAACUCGGAACGGUCAAGUGAUACUGUCGGACUAGAGUACAGAAGGGGCAACUGGAAUUCUCGGUGUAGCGGUGAAAUGCGUAGAUAUCGAGAGGAACACCUGCGGCGAAGGCGGGUUGCUGGGCUGAUACUGACGCUGAGGCGCGAAAGCCAGGGGAUCAAACGGG
rnacentral:rRNA from 1 species